GCAGAGGACUUCCAUCUCCAGUGCAACCAAGUUGCCGGCUGGGUGCAAGUCACCCUUUCCUAACAGCUUCGGGAAGGUUUGAGACAAGAACCAAUAUGUGUCCUUGCUGAGCACCACCUGAGACAGGUGUAUGAGUUUCCAGCCAGGCUGGUUCCUGAGUUCAUGUGUGAGGCAGAAGAAAUGAGCAAAGCGUCUCCUGCAUGGGCAGAUGCCCUUUCCCUGCCCCAGAGAUUGGGACAGACCCAUGCCAAAAGCACUGAGUUCUCUGGGUGGAGGUGAGACCAGUGCCCAAACAGAUCUCAGAAGCCAAUUCAGAUUUCUCUCCUCCUAGC
rnacentral:RNase_P_RNA from 1 species